rnacentral:rRNA from 1 species
UACGAAGGGGGCUAGCGUUGCUCGGAAUUACUGGGCGUAAAGGGCGCGUAGGCGGCCAGUUAAGUCAGAGGUGAAAGCCCAGGGCUCAACCCUGGAAUAGCCUUUGAUACUGGCUGUCUUGAGUGCGGGAGAGGUGUGUGGAAUUCCGAGUGUAGAGGUGAAAUUCGUAGAUAUUGGGAGGAACACCAGUGGCGAAGGCGGCUCACUGGACCGGUACUGACGCUGAUGCGCGAAAGCGUGGGGAGCAAACAGG